GGGCCUGUGGGGUAGCUUGGCAUCCUUCUACCUUGGGGUGGUAGUAACCUGAGUUCAAAUCUCAGCAGGCCCA
rnacentral:tRNA from 1 species